rnacentral:rRNA from 1 species
UACAGAGGGUGCAAGCGUUAAUCGGAAUUACUGGGCGUAAAGCGUGCGUAGGUGGUUCGUUAAGUCCGUUGUGAAAGCCCCGAGCUCAACUUGGGAAUUGCAGUGGAUACUGGCGUGCUUGAGGACUGGAGAGGAGACUGGAAUUCAUGGUGUAGCAGUGAAAUGCGUAGAGAUCAUGAGGAAGACCAGUGGCGAAGGCGGGUCUCUGGACAGUUCCUGACACUGAGACACGAAGGCCAGGGGAGCAAACGGG